AACGAACGCUGGCGGCAGGCUUAACACAUGCAAGUCGAGCGCCCCGCAAGGGGAGCGGCAGACGGGUGAGUAACGCGUGGGAACGUACCCUUUGCUACGGAAUAGCUCCGGGAAACUGGAAUUAAUACCGUAUGUGCCCUACGGGGGAAAGAUUUAUCGGCAAAGGAUCGGCACGCGUUGGAUUAGCUAGUUGGUGGGGUAAUGGCCUACCAAGGCGACGAUCCAUAGCUGGUCUGGGAGGAUGAUCAGCCACAUUGGGACUGAGACACGGCCCAAACUCCUACGGGAGGCAGCAGUGGGGAAUAUUGGACAAUGGGCGCAAGCCUGAUCCAGCCAUGCCGCGUGAGUGAUGAAGGCCUUAGGGUUGUAAAGCUCUAUCACCGGAGAAGAUAAUGACGGUAUCCGGAGAAGAAGCCCCGGCUAACCUCGUGCCAGCCGCCGCAGUAACAC
rnacentral:rRNA from 1 species